GAUGAACGCUGGCGGCGUGCUUAACACAUGCAAGUCGAACGAUGAAGCCCAGCUUGCUGGGUGGAUUAGUGGCGAACGGGUGAGUAACACGUGAGUAACCUGCCCUUAACUCUGGGAUAAGCCUGGGAAACUGGGUCUAAUACCGGAUAGGAGCGUCCACCGCAUGGUGGGUGUUGGAAAGAUUUAUCGGUUUUGGAUGGACUCGCGGCCUAUCAGCUUGUUGGUGAGGUAAUGGCUCACCAAGGCGACGACGGGUAGCCGGCCUGAGAGGGUGACCGGCCACACUGGGACUGAGACACGGCCCAGACUCCUUCGGGAGGCAGCAGUGGGGAAUAUUGCACAAUGGGCGCAAGCCUGAUGCAGCGACGCCGCGUGAGGGAUGACGGCCUUCGGGUUGUAAACCUCUUUCAGUAGGGAAGAAGCGAAAGUGACGGUACCUGCAGAAGAAGCACCGGCUAACUACGUG
rnacentral:rRNA from 1 species